AGGUUAACUACAGAUUAACACGUAAACUACAGAUUAACUAUAGAUUAACUACAGAUUAACACGUAAACUACAGAUUAACUACAGGUUAACUACAGGUUAACUACAGAUUAACACGUAAACUACAGAUUAACUACAGGUUAACUACAGAUUAACACGUAAACUACAGAUUAACUACAGAUUAACACGUAAACUACAGAUUAACUACAGGUUAACUACAGAUUAACACGUAAACUACAGAUUAACUACACGUUAACUACAGGUUAACUACAGGUUAACUACAGAUUAACACGUAAACUACAGAUUAACUACAGGUUAACUACAGGUUAACACGUAAACUACAGAUUAACUACAGGUUAACUACAGGUUAACUACAGAUUAACACGUAAAGUACAUAUUAACCAAAGAUUAACACAUAAAUUACAGAUUAACUAUAGAUUAACUAUAGAUUUAAUACAGAUUAACUACAGAUUAACACGUAAACUACAGAUUAACAAAUUAAAUACAAACACGUAAACUAAAGAUUAACACGUAAACUACAGAUUAACACGUUAAAUACAGAUUAACUACAGAUGAACACGUUAAAUACAGAUUAACUACAGAUUAACAAAUUAAAUACAGACAAACA